GGACAACGCCCAACCGAACAACGACGCCAAGCGAAGCGAAGCGCCGGGCCGCCGGGAUACCAAACAAAUAGCCCUGCCGCACGAGGUGCACGACGUGGACCCCGCACGUCGGCGCGGGCGAUUCCACCGACUGCCCCCACCGUUUCCCCGCCGCCCGCCCGGCAACCGCCCGCGCAGCGCAGCCGCCUUGGAAACGACGAGGCCAAGGGAGCCAAAUCCCGGCACGGCAGGACUCCUUUCCCCACCGAACAGCAACAACCACCCGGAAUCCGGUGGAGGAAUCGGCGGGGGAAUCCUCUCAGAUUCGGCGGGCGAUCGUUAUGCGCUGAUGGCGCCCUGCCCUGGCGUCGCGGGCGUGCACGCGCGCUGGACGGCGCGGGCGCUGGCCGGCGCCUUCCUCGACCUCGCCAUCGUCUACGCCUUCCUCUGCGCCGCGGCCGCCGCGUCCGCGGCCUCCGCCCUCCUCGCGCUCUUCCGCCUCCGCCUCCCCUGCACCUGCUCCCGCCCGCACCUCCCCUGCCUCUUCGCCUUCCUCUUCCGCUACCCCUCCCGCGUCCUCGAGUCCCUCCUCCUCUCCCUUCGCUCCCGCUUCCCCUUCGUCUUCAACUCCGACGACGACAGCCAGGACGAGGGGGAGGGCAAAGCCGAGUCCGUCGAUGAGGAAGAGGAGGAGGUGAAUCUGAAGCGGGAGGUGGACGAGGGGAAUGACGUCUCGGCGCUGCAGCAGGAGCUGGACAAGGAACGCAGCGCCGCAGCAUCCGCGGCCGAGGAGGCCAUGGCGAUGAUCCUGCGUCUGCAGAAGGAGAAAUCGUCCUUGGAGAUGGAGGUGCGGCAGCAGCGCCGCACCUCUGAUGAGCGCUGCGCCUUCUACGAGAAUGAGGUGGAGGAGCUCAAGGACAUCUUGCUCAUGAGGGAGCGUGAGACCAGGUCUUUACAGAAAGAGGUGGAGUCCUACCGGCGGAUGCUUGGUCUCACCGGGAAUGAUGAUGACGAGGAGGUGGAGAUGAUGACGCCGCACAGUUACUUUCUAGAGGGCGAGCCAAGCUCUUCCAGAUCGCUUGAUAAGAAUGCGGGGGUUCAGCCUGGGAAUAAUUCUGUCUUCAGCUUCCAGAAGCAGUUCGCGCGCCAACAAGUGUCGCCCAUUCGUGUGGGUCAUGUUAAGGAUGGGAAUGAGGACAGUCUGCCUUUUCAGGCACUUGGAGAAGUUCCUGUGGCCGGAUCGAAAUUGGGGGCAGAUAGAUGCGAAGAUGAUGGCACGGAGACGGUGGUAAUUCUCCCCCUAUCUGCCCGGAGUUUGUGCUUGCCCCAAUCUGCACGAUGUCUGGAUCAAGGUGGUGAUGUUGAAGUUAAUGCUGCAGCUGGUAUGAAAGGUAUGGAAGAGCUGACUGCUGAUGAAUUUCAGGAGGAGGACAGUGGGCGGCUAGACAAGACUUGCCAUGAUUUUAUGGCAAGCGACAAUGAUGCAAAUAUAUUUGAUGUGCAUGUUGUUGAUGAUAUUUGCUUCUCCACUGAAGUUAAAGGCCUGAUUGGUCGAAGCUUCUCUGAUGCAACAAUGCAAGCAGACAAGUUGCAGAAUCGAGCUGCCGCAGAUGAUCUCCUGGGGAAAAGUCUGAAUGCGAUCAAAGGUGCACAAAACAAGAUGAGGCUUGCAGCAAGUGGAAGGAGGCAAUCAUUACAGUUGCAACUCUUAGAGGAUAUAGCUGACCAACUUCAAGAAAUCAAAGAUGUUGCAGAUGCAGGGCGACACUUACACUGUAUUUCUCCUAAAAUUUCAAAGAAAAGCUAGGACAGGCAUAUUUUGUCACGGCGGCACGGUUGAUGUUGUAGAUAUUUGUUUUCGUUUGUAGUCUCUCCUCUCGGCAUUACAUCCUUAAGGUCUGGUCCUCCCUGGGCCUGCCGGCCCCGACCUCCCUUGCUGCUCUGCUCCAACACCCAACGCUUCAUGGCCUCAACCCCAAUAUCUGGCCUUCGGUGGUUCUGACUAUCUCUUGGAAGCUAUGGGAUUCUAGAAACACGCUCGUCUUCAGGAAUGACGAUCAUACACACAGAACCACCAUACGGAACAUUGUUGCUGACUUCUCUCUAUGGGUUUUUCGGUUCAAAAAGAAAGAAGACAAUAUCUCCGCUAGACAAUGGCUUCACUUCCUCUCUUCAGCUGUACCCUAAUGAUCAUGUUGUAACCAAACUACUAUUGUAAUUCUCGACUCCUCCUUUUGAGUGGUAAUAUAUUCAGGUGGGGAAGCUCUCCCCCUCGGUGACCGUUC